AUUGAACGCUGGCGGCAGGCUUAACACAUGCAAGUCGAGCGAGCGGCGGACGGGUGAGUAAUGUCUGGGAAACUGCCUGAUGGAGGGGGAUAACUACUGGAAACGGUAGCUAAUACCGCAUACCAUCAGAUGUGCCCAGAUGGGAUUAGCUAGUUGGUGGGGUAAUGGCUCACCUAGGCGACGAUCCCUAGCUGGUCUGAGAGGAUGACCAGCCACCCUGGAACUGAGACACGGCCCAGACUCCUACGGGAGGCAGCAGUGGGGAAGAUUGGACAAUGGGGGCAAUCCUGAUGCAGCCAUGCCGCGUGUGUGAAGAAGGCCUUCGGGUUGUAAAGCACUUUCAGCGGGGAGGCGUUACUCGCAGAAGAAGCACCGGCUAACUCCGUGCCAGCAGCCGCGGUAAUUC
rnacentral:rRNA from 1 species